UGUAAAAAAUAAUUCAGUGGCUUAGUAAAUUUCACAAAAAUAAAGAGCUAUAUUUACUUAAUAAAAUCUUUUGAAAUCAUUUAAGUGAUAUUUUGAGUGGGUCAGGUUAAAAAUAAUAAUUAAAAAUCCAACAAAUAAUUUCUCUAAAAUUUACAUAUAUUAUUUAAGUUUAUUUAAUGAAAAUAAAUAAGUAUUUUACUAACUAAUUAUAUUUUUAAUAUACCCUCAAUAUUUCUGGUGAAUUCUAAUAUAAAUAUUUGAUAAUUAUUUACUUGUACUGAUCUGUUUUAGAAACUAAAAUUAUUAAGUAUUUCCUACCAAUUUUCCUAAAUAAAGUUCCAGCUUAAUAAAAAACGGUUUAAAUAAAUUGAGUAAAUUUCGCGGCUAAAGUGAUCACGUGUGCAGCUCCGCAGGAAAAAAAAAUCUGCUUUCCUCAGCAGAGACGUCGACUAGCCAUACUCCUCACAACUCCUGGUAAGUAAGGUUAGUCAGCUAAUCCUACUUACGUUUGUAACACUUUAUUAUAAAGUUAAUAAUUAUUAAGCAUUUCCUAACAAUUGUCUUUGUAUUUUACGUCAUCUUCAACAAGUUUCGUAACUUAAUCGAGGUCACCUGAAGGACGGCGUUCCUGAGUUUCCUCAGCAACGGCAAGACCCGCACUCCUCUCAUAUCGGGAAGUUUAACGAGUUUCGCGGCUCAAGCAAGAGGCACCUGUCACUGAAGGACUGCUUUUCUCAGCAACGACGUGAACAGCAUUACUCGAAUUUCCUGGUUCAGCUGAUCUACCCGUCUUCGUACAAGUAGAGUUGGCAGAGGAGGUCAUAAAAAUCUACAUCCUUCGGGACAAUGAUGGGGCAGUCAGCGAUGUAGGAGUUGUGAUUGAGGGCAUCACUGUCCUCCGCAGUCUUGGGAAUCUCAGCAGAGCCUGCUGCUAUCUUUUGGGAGUCACGUAUGCAUUGGAUUUGAGAUAUCCCAAGACCCACAAAUACAGGUCCUUCUCAAAAAAUUAGCUUAUUGUGAUAAAGUUCAUUAUUUUCCAUAAUGUAAUGAUAAAAAUUAAACUUUCAUAUAUUUUAGAUUCAUUGCACACCAACUGAAAUAUUUCAGGUCUUUUAUUGAUUUAAUACUGAUGAUUUUGGCAUACAGCUCAUGAAAACCCCAAAUUCUCAAAACAUUAGCAAAUUUCAUCCGACCAAUAAAAGAAAAGUGUUUUUAAUACAAAAAAAAAAGUCAACCUUUAAAUAAUUAUGUUCAGUUAUGCACUCAAUACUUCGGGAAUCCUUUUGCAGAAAUGACUGCUUCAAUGCGGCGUGGCAUGGAGGCAAUCAGCCUGUGGCACUGCUGAGGUGUUAUGGAGGCCCAGGAUGCUUCGAUAGCGACCUUAAGCUCAUCCAGAGUGUUGGGUCUUGUGUCUCUCAGCUUUCUCUUCACAAUAUCCCACAGAUUCUCUAUGGGGUUCAGGUCAGGAGAGUUGGCAGGCCAAUUGAGCACAUUAAUACCAUGGUCAGUAAACCAUUUACCAGUUGUUUUCAGCACUGUGAGCAGGUGCCAGGUCGUGCUGAAAAACGAAAUCUUCAUCUCCAUAAAGCUUUUCAGCAGAUGGAAACAUGAAGUGCUCCAAAAUCUCCUGGUAACUAGCUGCAUUGACCCUGCCCUUGAUAAAACACAGUGGACCAACACCAGCAGCUGACAUGGCACCCCAGACCAUCACUGACUGUGGGUACUUGACACUGGACUUCAGGCAUUUUGGCAUUUCCUUCUCCCCAGUCUUCCUCCAGACUCUGGCACCUUGAUUUCCGAAUGACAUCCAAAAUUUGCUUUAUGCUAUAUUAUAAUGCUAUAUGCCAAAAUCAUCACUAUUAAAACAAUAAAAGACCUGAAAUAUUUCAGUUGUUGUGCAAUGAAUCAAAAAUAUAUGAAAGUUUAAUUUUUAUCAAUACAUUAUGGAAAAUAAUGAACUUUUAUCAUAAUAUAAAAUUUUUUUGAGAAGGACCUGUACUCACUUGAGUUGUUCCAAAAACUGUUUCUUGAGCUGGAUCCUCCAAAACUCUCUGUUAAUGUUCAGAGGUUAAAAAAUUAUCUUCUUGCACAGUAGUGGUUCAUGAUCAUCCCACAGAAUGGGUAUUCCUGAUGGAAGUGUUUCUGUUAUCUGAUUAAUUCUGUUGAAGGGAUAGUUCACUCAAAAAGAUGAUGUUGUCAUAAUUUACUCUCCCUCAAUUUGUCCCAAACCUGUACGAGUUUCUUUCUUCUGUUGAACACAAAAGAUAUUUUAAGUGAAGUGACGUGACAUUCAGCCAAGUAUUAAAGAGUGUUGGUUAACGCAUUUAAAGGUUGCCAUUGACUUUGCAUAGUAGCCUUUUUUUCUUUUCUUUUUUCUACCAUGGAAGUCAAUGGCAACUUUCAACUGUCUGUUAACCAACAUUCAUUAAAAUAUCUUUUGUGUUCAACAGAAGAAAGAAACUCUACAGGUUUGGGACAACUUGAGGGCGAGUACAUUAUGACAACAUCAUCUUUUUGGGUGAACUAUCCCUUUAAUAUUGAUGUAAGUGUUGCUUUUUUUUUAUGGUUUAAUGAGUGGUAAUGAGUGUGACUGCAAAUGGCUGGUAUGCACCAGGAACAAAGUAAGAUGUCAUUUCUCUUACGGCUAUCAUAUUUUACAUGUAAUCUACUUGAAUACUAAGAUGGAUGAAAUGUUUCAUAAGGUUUAAUCAUUUCCCUUAUGGCUGCUUUACAGUUUUUAAUUUUUGCAAUCUACUGGAAUAUUAAAAUGGAUAAAAUGUUUCAAAGGUUGAUUUUAGACUUUGUCUGAUGUUUAAUUGAUAAAUAA